CUCCUGUGUGUUCCAGGGAUGAGGGAUUCACCGUCGAAAAAUGUUCGCAUUUCAACCUGAUCAUUUUCAAGUUUCUUUCACACUGAAAUGAAGUGCAUGACUCAGGUCACACUCCUGCAUCCUUAUGUGACAUAUGAUCUGAGUUGUCCUGAAAAAAUAGAUGUUAUGGACUGUGUUUUUUUUUCAAAAGGAAAAAGCAAAGGUGUGAAACAAAAAUCAGUUUCCAGCAGCUGUUGGUGGUAAAGUGUCCAGUGCCCACCACAGCCAGAGAGAAAGCUGCUGAAUAUUUUGAAUUUCCCUCGGGAUUAAUAAAGCGUCUGUCCGUCGAGUCGUCGGAUCCUCUUGAUCCUCAUCAGGGUCAUGGGGGGCUGGAGUCUAUCCCAGCUGACUGCGGGUGAAGGCAGGGGACACCUGGACAGGGGGAGGUGGUGCACUGGCUGGCCUGUUGGCUGGAUGCAGCCUGCAGGAAGGGCUCCACUCCCACAGUGGGUAAAGGACUGAUGGAGGGAGGAUCCUUCACUCGUCCAAACUCAGGUCAGACGCUGGCGCCUCUGCAGGACAAUAAUCCAGUAAAACCUGCCUCUGAAUACGGCCCAAUGCAUAAAAACACUCAACUAUUUUAAAUAACUAAUGGAUUCUGGUUAAAUGUCUUUUAUUCUUUUAAAGCUGUGUAAUCCUUCAAACUACUGGAUCAUGAACUAUGUGUUUGCAAACUCAGGCUUUGCCAAAGUGAGUUGAAAAAUGUCAGCAGUUGUUCAGUGAGUUAUUUUAAACACGAGCCAGUGAACAAGCACAGUAGACCUGUUUUUAUAUCUCCUCUUUGUCUGUGUCACAGAGCUACCUCAGGUUAUAAACAUUUCUCAGAGAGCCCAUAGUGUACACAUUUAGAGGUUCCGAAUUGAUUUUGUGGGUCGAGUAGAAUGUUUACAAGUAUUCAUUUUCAAAAAACACAUUAUUUUAACAUGAGUAUUGGGAUGUAGCAGCAGCAGAAGAAGCUGCUCAUUCUUUGUUUGAGGCCAAACUAGCCACCAGGCAGGCGUUUUGUGUUACAUGGUGAUGUAGAUCAGUAACAGAAGAAAUAACUGCACUCUGAAUGAGAUAUUGUGAUAUGAUGAUAACAACAGAGCAGCCCCUUAUUCAUAUGAUUUCUGAAAACAGAAAUAUGUGAACUGGUGAUUCCAACACAAGAAUGAUCCAGGAUUAGAAAACAAAUGCGUUUAACCUGCUGUCUUUAGAUGCUCUGCCAAGGUGGUUGUUGAGUUGUGAUAUUAAAAAGUUUUUUGCAAAGUUUAUCUUCGAUUUUAACAAAAAUGCAACCACACCAUCAAGAUGACUUCUUCGACUUGGUAUCAGACUAUUUAGUUCAGCCACUGAACUGAAAAUGUUUUCCUGUUCUUUUUUAGACUUGUCGUUCUUUAACAUCUGGGCUAGUUUCAUUCUUAAACCUACUGCUGAGUUUUUCUUAUCUUAAAAUGGAUGUUUGACCACACACAGCAGUGAGCAUGACUGAUAAAAUGCUGUAGAGUGAAUUUAUCUGACAAAAAUCUGAGUAUUUUUCUGUUUUUUCUCACUAUUCAGUAACAGACACAUCAAUAAUGCUUGAGUACUUGGAACCCAAAAUGUGAAAACGGAUUUCAUACUAAGUUCUGUUAUUAUUUUCCUUUGGUGCCUGCUCAAACCUCUGGAUGGUGUAAAACAAUUCUCACUGCAAGAAAACCCUUGUUUUUAUUAUUUUACAGUGGAAAGUUAGUUGCUUUGUGUGAAUGCUUUUUGACACUUGUGUCUGUUGAGCAGGUUCAUUUUUUGAGAUAGAAAACAAACUACUACUUUCCAAUUAAGCUGUUUAUUUUCUUCCAUCAGUGUCUCAAAAGAAUCUUGAUCAAGGACCUUUUCUGUCUGGAACAGCCUCCCAGAAAAUGACAAAGUCUGAUAUGAACAGAACAUUUUAUACCGUAUUGUGAAAUGUGAUUGGUUAUUGAACACAAACAUAUCAUUCAAAUAUUGAACAGUGAUUGGCUAAAGGUGGGGAUAACCGUGGUGUAGACUUAGCUCUCCCAUUGGUUGGUGCACAGAUACGUCCAUAUCUCUGGCACACGAUUCAUCCAAUCUCCAGGAACCAUCCUGUAAAAGAACCUCCUAGAACCCUCUUCCCUCUCUCUACCUGUCAGUCUUAUUCCUCUGUUAACUGAGAUGUGAUGCAGCUGCUGGUGGUGUCUCAUAGGGAGGAUUAUUAUGGUUUCCACUCUUAAACAACCUUGAGUUUAGCGGUUUCAGUAAAAUUAGUUGUUUCAUUAUAAGGACAUAGGAAUGUGCUGUGUGUGUGAAAACACUCUUUGUACUAGUGUGUGUGUGUGUGUGUGUGUGUGUGUGUGUGUGUGUGUGUGUGUGUGUGUGUGUGUGUGUGUGUGUGUGUGUGUGUGUGUGUGUGUGUGUGUGUGUGUGUGUGUGUGUGUGUGUGUGUGUGUGUGUGUGUGUGUGUGUGUGCGCGCAGCUGUAGCUUUCCAGCCUGACCUGUGUGUAUCCAUCAUGUAUUUAACCCUUCAGAGCCUGGGGUUAAUGCUCUCUCUCUAUUCAGGUCAACACAACUCAUACAUUAAUUACACAACAAAUGGUUAUUAAUAUUGUAAUGUCUGUAUAUCUUAUAUAGACAUAAAAUAUAAUGAGGCGAAACGAGAGUGGUGUCUUUCAAUGUGUUUACUUCUGAACUGCCAGACCAGACUGCCAAACAUGGGGUAACAGGCAUCCCAUAAUACCUUGCGCAGGUACUUCUUAAAGUGACCAUAACACUGUUUUAUACAUUACAAAUAUCAAUAUUGUAUUACUCAUAUGUGACAUCAAGUUCAGUGUUCAGCUAGCAGUGCCUUAAAAAAAUAAAUCCUAACAUGUCCUUG